rnacentral:lncRNA from 1 species
CUUGCAACAUAGCCGGGCCAUCCAUCCCUUUUGCAGACCGUUGUUUGUCUGUUGCUGGAGCAGCUGCGGUGGUGGGAUAGGCGUCAGACCAGCCUGCAAGGCUGAGCUCUGGUGGGCGAGGCGGCCGGACAGACCCUGAUGUCUUGCCAGUCUGCAUGUUAGCGAACGCACGGCUCGGCUCGGCGGGGUUAUUUCAGCCCUGUAGAAUUUGGGGGGCUCAGGACAAAGGAAUCGGGAGCUGGAGGCCCUCGGACCAUCUUAAACCUGCUCCCUCCCGUGGCACAGCUUGGAGCGAGAGAGGGGCUGCUGGGUGGUCCUGAAGAAUUAGCAGCGGGGGACAACACACACACACACACACAGCA